CGGUGAUUGGCGCAGCCUGGUAGCGCACUUUGUUCGGGACGAAGGGGUCGGAGGUUCGAAUCCUCUAUCACCGACCA
rnacentral:tRNA from 1 species